rnacentral:rRNA from 1 species
CAGUGAGGAAUCUUGGACAAUGGGCGCAAGCCUGAUCCAGCCAUGCCGCGUGAGUGAUGAAGGCCUUAGGGUUGUAAAGCUCUUUUGCCGGGGAUGAUAAUGACCGUACCCGGAGAAUAAGCCACGGCUAAAUUCGUGCCAGCAGCCGCGGUAAUACGAAUGUGGCGAGCGUUGUUCGGAAUCACUGGGCGUAAAGAGUACGUAGGCGGCUUGAUAAGUCAGGAGUGAAAUCCCCAGGCUCAACCUGGGAAUUGCUCUUGAAACUAUCUCGCUAGAAACACGGAGAGGUUGGCGGAAUUCCAAGUGUAGAGGUGAAAUUCGCAGAUAUUUGGAGGAACACCAGUGGCGUAAGCGGCCAACUGGACGUGUAUUGACGCUGAGGUACGAAAGCGUGGGGAUCAAACAGGAUUAGA